rnacentral:tRNA from 1 species
GCCGCCAUCGUCUAGUGGUCAGGACAUUAGUUUGUGGCUCUUCACCGACUAAACACUGAAAACGGCGGUUCGAUUCCGCCUGGCGGCA